UGUGAAGUGUGGGCAGCUUGAAACACACGAGGCAGCAAAUCCGAACAGGCAAAGGCCUCACUCUCCAGUGCAGUCUGGGAGGACUGAUCAGGGAAGAACAGAUCAGGGUGAAGAACAGAAAGGUGAGCUCUGAUCCUGGAACUUCUUCCCUGCGCUCUGCCAGCUCCCACCUCGCCACCACCCUGGGUUCUGGAACCACGCCAAGCAGGGCAGAAACCGAAGUGCUUUUGGAAGUCCACAGGGAUUCCCACACCCACCACAGCCCAAUUUCAUCUGCCCACAGUUGCUCCCUGAACUCAGUGGCUCUGCCGCAGCAGGGAGAUGGUCUGAAGGACAGGCGUGGGGGCAGAAGAAGACCCCAAGGCAUCUCCCCAAGAUGACCACAGUUGUCCCUGAAGAAGCAGUCACAGCAAGCUCACUUCACAGGAACCAAGCUGUGGGCUGAUCCUACAGACUUGAAAAGACAACUCAAAAAGAUUGUCUGUGGGGUCAGAAACAGCUCUGGAGGGGUCUGCAGAAAUUACUUUCCCAAGUCUUUGGGCUGGAAGGAACGAACAGUGCCUGACCAAGGACUUUGAGCAGGAGAGAGAUGGGAGCAGAGAGGAGCCAAGGUCUACUAUUUUCACUUCUGUCAAUUAGAUCAAAGCCCUGCCCAGAAGCUUUGAGCGCCGCUGUCAAGUCCCAUUCCUCCCCUAAACCAUCCAGGUUCCAUCUGCCUUGAAGCCAAAGGAUCUUCUUAGAUUCCUCAAGAAAAAUUCAGGCCCCGAGUUUCUCCACCAGCACUCUCCUCUCCCCGAAGGAGUGGGUGGGCUGCAUUUCUCUUCAUAUUCUAUUCCAUUCCAGACCGUCUUGGACUACCAGCCUGUCCGCCACCCCUCGGGGCCCUCCCUCCUACUCUGCCCUUGCCCGCUGAGGUCCCAAGCUGAGGAGAUGAGCCGAGCAGUAAAAAGAGAGGAGGUUUGGAAAAGCAAUGUCCUCUCAGUCUUUAAUAGGUGGCCCCCCUGGGAACCUGCUGGAAGUGGAAGUUAAUAAGCUGAAGGUGGUCACAACCAAUCUCUGCCACACUCGCACCCUACCCCACCCCAAAUCAUUCCUUUUAAUUAAUAGUGGAAGACCUUUUUAAAAAUGUAACAUGAAUUGGCUAUUUCUUGAGGCAAACAAAAGGUGGCUCUGAAGCGAUAUAUUUGUACUCGUAUAAAUUCAUUAAAAUAGAAAGCUUAUAACCAUCCAGGUUUCACUGACAGCCCCAGUCCAUCUACAUGCAGAAAUGGUCCCUCCAAAGCCCUCUACGACAAUUAUUCUCACAGAUCGUCAUGAUAAACUGUAAGGGAAUAUACUAAGAAAGAGGGAAGAAGAGAGGAGGAGUCCAUUUUUAAUUAGUGGUUGGAAAUAGAGUAAAAAUUAGAGGGCCUUAGGUUUAAAACACAGAUGUGCAUUGUGAUCGUCUGAAGGAAGAGCUGUUGACAGAGAAAACAAGGUGGUGAACUAUGCCCUUGGCCUGUGACAGUUAGGUGAGGGUUGCUCACCGCAGAAGACAGACCGGUAGAGCCCAGCAGGAAAGAGGGUAUCAGGCUGGAAGAAGUGCAGUUUGGCCCUGGCGGAGUGGUGGAGUGGCUGGAGCGACUGCAGGAGGAGGAUAGAUCUGGAAGCAGGUCUGGGCUAUACUUUGGCCUCAGCCAGGGAGCCAGAGAAGGAAGGCUUGGGUUCGAGGGGGGAAAUCAUUCUCCCAAAUUGCUUUCUCAGAAGCGCCAAUUCAGAUCACCUGAAGACAGGGUCUGGGCCCCAUUACAGCAUGGUUCCCAAAUGGGAGUGUGCUUGGAAGCCUUGGUGAUUAAAGGGUGCUGACUAAAAGAGUCAAACUCUGUAAAAUAUUUGAAGAGAUUUAUUCUGAGCCAAAUAUGAGUGACCAUGGCCCAUGACACAGCCCUCAGGAGACCCUGAGAACAUGUGUUCAAGGUGGUCGGGGUACAGCUUGGUUUUAUAUGUUUUAGGAAGGCAUGAGACUCAAUCAAAGACAUUUUAAAAAUACAUUGGUUUGGUUCAGAAAGGUGAGACAACUCAAAGUGGGGGCUUCCAGGCUAUAGGUAAAUUUAAACAUUUUCUGACUGACAAUUGGUUGGGUUUAUCUGGAGACCUGGGAUUAAUGGAAAGGAAGGUUCAUGUUAAGAUACAGAACUGUGGGGACCAAGUUUUAUUGUGCAGAGGAAUCUCUCAGAUAGCAGACUUCAGAGAGAGAGAGAGCAGGUUGUAAAAUGUUUCUUAUCGGACCUAAAAGGGUACCUGGCUCUUAGUUGAUUAUCUCCUGGAUCUGGGAAGGAAGGAAGGAAAACAAAGGGGAAAGGAAAUAUUUCCUAUAGAAUAUGGAUUUUUCCCACAAGAGACUUUGCAGGACAAUUUCGAGAUAUGGCAAGGAGAUUUAUUUUGGGGUAAAACAUUUUGAUUUUCUUCCUUGUUAUGCCACAGUCAGAUUGGAAAGUCAGUCAUGAUAUACAGGGUCAGAUAAAAUCCGUCUGAUGAGAAUGUAUGGUUGGUAGGGCAUGACUCCCCAGACCCCUUAGAUAGGAAUCUGGGCAAGAUAAAAAAUCGGAGCUUAGUCCUCAAGGGAAGGGGCAGCAGCGCUGUUGGCGGGCUCACCAAGCAUCAGUACUGGAUCACCAGGCUUGGGAGAGUAGGGGUGUCAAGGCCCCAAGAGCAGGGAGGGCCUUGGCCCCACUAGGGGGGCAUCAGAAAGCAGGGAGCACUUGUAGUUCACCAUGAUUCCCCUCAAAGCCCUGGGCCAGCCUCCUGCAGGGAAGGCGGGCAGGAAGUCUUCCCCAUAGGGGCAGGCUUGCUUUUUUGGCCAGCCAUCCUCUUCAUAUGAAAAACAGCAUCUUGUCAUUUCUAGAUGUUUCUACUUUGGUUGACUCUUUAAUUUUUCUGCAGUUAAAAGCCUUAAAACAGCAAGGAAGCAGGGGACAGGAGGGGAGCCCAGAUCUCUCCCAAAGAAAAGGAGAAAGACUGAAUCCUUGAGGCCUGCCGUACAAAGGAGUGGUGGGUUGGAGGAGGGUAGGCAGAGACUAGGGUGGUCUGGGACUUUAAGUACAAGGCCCCGUGGAUUUCAUUGGGGGGCAAGCCAUGUGCAACAGGGAAGCUCAGGAACCGGGGGGUUUCGCACAGAGGUCUGGUGCUGUGAGGUACAGGGAAAGAAUUAGUGGAUCUGGACCAGUGGAACAUUGGUUUAGUGUAAUCUCUGAUUUGUGUUGAGUGAAUUUGAGUAUAGUCCAACCACCACCCCCCUACCCCAACUAAACCAUGUGCCCCUCAGGAGCUGGGACUCUUCUAUUUUCUAUUCCUUAUAGCAGGCUCAGUGCCUGACACACUACGUUGAAUUUUAUUUUAAACAUUUCAUUUACAUUAAAUGGUAUAUUUGCAAGUUCAUUCUUCCAGACCUCAGUUUAUUCUUUUAUCUAGUCAUUUUAAAGGGAUUCUCUCAGACCCUCCACUAGCUAAGAGAACCGAACUUUUCUUCCAGAAUUGUCAGGAAAUGGGACUUACUGACUUAGUGAGCUACUUAUUUUAUCUAGAAUUAACUGUGUCUAAUAAAAUAUAUAUGCACUUUGGGAAUGGAUGAGGUGCUACACAAAUGAAAGAUGGUAUUAUUCAUCAUACAGUGUUUUUGAUUAUAAUAGAUUAUUCUCUGCCAAAACCCAGAAGGGCCAAGUCGAGGUAGGUUGCUGAAAGGGGAGGAAGUCUAAAUAGCAGAAUCAGACUUUUCCAUAAGUUUGCAGUGGCGUAUGGACAACACUCAGGCAACCAGCCCUCGGCACAGCAACAGGGGACCCACCUCCUAAGUUGGGGCUGAGUAAAGACAUAUUCCCGGGGCAAGGCUUUGCCAAGGCAGGCCUCUUCUGAAACAUAAGUCCCAUCUUUCUCCCGGCCCCGCCACCCCACCUCAGAUGUGCUGUCUAGAAGCUGCACAUCUGGGGCCGUUCAAACUCCUGGCUCGAAUCACUGGAAUCAUCUGAGCAGGAUAAUUUUACAUUAAUGAUUAAAAAUUGCUCUUCUAGAUAUAGCCUUGCCUCAGGGUAGCCAUUAAGAACAUUACUUCGUAAUUUAAGAAGCUCAAUGUAGGGCGCUUUGGGCAUUUGCAAAGAGGGAACUGUACUCAUAUCUUGAUAAAUUGCAAAAUGUCUCC
rnacentral:lncRNA from 1 species